rnacentral:rRNA from 1 species
UGGUGGAGUGAUUUGUCUGGUUAAUUCCGUUAACGAACGAGACCUCCGCGUGCUAAAUAGUUCCGCUUACAAUUUUUUGUAGGUAGGGACUUCUUAGAGGGACUUUUGGGUAAUCAAACCAAAGGAAGUUGGAGGCAAUAACA